AGCACCGGCUAACUCCGUGCCAGCAGCCGCGGUAAUACGGAGGGUGCAAGCGUUAUCCGGAUUUAUUGGGUUUAAAGGGUGCGUAGGCGGCUAUUUAAGUCAGUGGUGAAAUCCUGCAGCUCAACUGUAGAACAGCCAUUGAAACUGAAUAGCUUGAGUAAUCUUGAGGUAGGCGGAAUGUGUAGUGUAGCGGUGAAAUGCUUAGAUAUUAUACAGAACACCGAUUGCGAAGGCAGCUUACUAAGGAUUUACUGACGCUGAUGCACGAAAGCGUGGGGAUCAAACAGGAUUAGAUACCCUGGUAGUCCACGCCGUAAACGAUGAUAACUCGCUGUUGGCGAUACACAGUCAGCGGCUUAGCGAAAGCGUUAAGUUAUCCACCUGGGGAGUACGCUCGCAAGAGUG
rnacentral:rRNA from 1 species